rnacentral:rRNA from 1 species
CUACGGGGCGCUCCAGUGGGGAAUAUUGCACAAUGGAGGAAACUCUGAUGUAGCAACGCCGCGUGGAGGAUGACACUUUUCGGAGCGUAAACUCCUUUUAUAUAGGAAGAAGAUGACGGUACUAUAUGAAUAAGCGCCGGCUAACUCCGUGCCAGCAGCCGCGGUAAUACGGAGGGCGCAAGCGUUACUCGGAAUCACUGGGCGUAAAGAGCGUGUAGGCGGAUUAAAAAGUCAGAAGUGAAAUCCUAUAGCUUAACUAUAGAACUGCUUCUGAAACUCUUAAUCUAGAAUAUGGGAGAGGUAGAUGGAAUUUCUGGUGUAGGGGUAAAAUCCGUAGAGAUCAGAAGGAAUACCGAUUGCGAAGGCGAUCUACUAGAACAUUAUUGACGCUGAGACGCGAAAGCGUGGGGAGCAAACAGGAUUAGAUACCCCAGUAGUC